UACAGAGGUCUCAAGCGUUGUUCGGAUUCAUUGGGCGUAAAGGGUGCGUAGGCGGCGCGGUAAGUCGGGUGUGAAAUCUCGGAGCUUAACUCCGAAACUGCAUUCGAUACUGCCGUGCUUGAGGACUGGAGAGGAGACUGGAAUUUACGGUGUAGCGGUGAAAUGCGUAGAUAUCGUGAAGGAAGACCAGUGGCGAAGGCGGGAUCUCUGGACAGUUCCUGACGCUGAGGCACGAAGGCCAGGGGGAGCAAAACGGGG
rnacentral:rRNA from 1 species